AGUUGGGACGCUUCCGCCGACGGAAUUUUUCGCUUCUCCCCGCUCCGCCCCCGCCCUCCGGUCGCCCGGUUCCCGGACGCCGGCGCCGGGCUGCUCGCGCCGCACCUCGGGGCGGCCGCUCUCCGCCUCCCCCGGGAGGCCGGACGGAUCUCUGAGGGUGUGAUACUUCCCAGCGUGGCUUCCAUCCUAAGGAUGCUGCCCGUCACUUCUUUUCUCCUCCAGCCCGCGUUUCUCGCCGGUCUGGUCCACUCUGUGAACUCACCGUCUGCAUCUUCGUGGCCCAGGCCUGGGCAGCCCCCUGCAGUCCCGAUUAUUCCGUUGACUUUAGGAUUGCUCCGCUGAUGCUGUUGCUUCCCAAAAACGUGCCUGGAAGCCUAAGUUAUAUGACUUUGGCAGGUCAACAGGAAAUAAGGCUUAGUUGCCAAACUAAGAAAGCAACCAGGCAUAUUACUGUUCCCUGAGGAGCUUUCAUUAUUCCAGCAGUCAUCAGUUUCUCCCAAGACAGUGGAAGUUAUCCCAGCUACGUCACUUGUCACAUGACAUUUUGGUAGGAAGAAGGUAUGCAGUAU